rnacentral:rRNA from 1 species
UAGGGAAUCUUCCGCAAUGGACGCAAGUCUGACGGAGCAACGCCGCGUGAGUGAAGAAGGAUUUCGGUUCGUAAAACUCUGUUGUUAGAGAAGAACAGCGCAUAGAGUAACUGUUAUGCGUGUGACGGUAUCUAACCAGAAAGCCACGGCUAACUACGUGCCAGCAGCCGCGGUAAUACGUAGGUGGCAAGCGUUGUCCGGAUUUAUUGGGCGUAAAGCGAGCGCAGGCGGUCAAUUAAGUCUGAUGUGAAAGCCCCCGGCUCAACCGGGGAGGGUCAUUGGAAACUGGUUGACUUGAGUGCAGAAGAGGAGAGUGGAAUUCCAUAUGUAGCGGUGAACUGCGUAGAUAUAUGGAGGAACACCAGUGGCGAAGGCGACUCUCUGGUCUGUAACUGACGCUGAGGCUCGAAAGCGUGGGUAGCAAACAGG